rnacentral:misc_RNA from 1 species
GGAGUAAAAGUCGUAACAAGGGCUCCGUAGGUGAACCUGCGGAGGGAUCAUUACAGAGUUCAUGCCCUACCGGGUAGAUCUCCCACCCUAUGUUAUUAUUACUUUGUUGCUUUGGCGGGCCGUUAGGCUCCGGCCCGACUACCGGCCCCGGCUGGUAAGCGCCCGCCAGAGGACCCAAAACCCUGAAUAUUAGUGUCGUCUGAGUACUAUAUAAUAGUUAAAACUUUCAACAACGGAUCUCUUGGUUCUG